rnacentral:rRNA from 1 species
GACUCUCGGCAACGGAUAUCUCGGCUCACGCAUCGAUGAAGAACGUAGCAAAAUGCGAUACUUGGUGUGAAUUGCAGAAUCCCGUGAACCAUCGAGUUUUUGAACGCAAGUUGCGCCCAAAGCCAUUCGGUUGAGGGCACGCCUGCCUGGGUGUCACGCAUCGC